UACGGGGGGAGCAAGCGUUGUUCGGAUUUACUGGGCGUAAAGGGCGCGUAGGCGGUCGUGACAAGUCACUUGUGAAAUCUCCGGGCUUAACUCGGAACGGUCAAGUGAUACUGUCGGACUAGAGUACAGAAGGGGCAACUGGAAUUCUCGGUGUAGCGGUGAAAUGCGUAGAUAUCGGGAGGAACAUCAGUGGCGAAAGCGGCACCCUGGCAUUAGCCUGACGCUCAGGUGCGAAAGCGUGGGGAGCGAACGGG
rnacentral:rRNA from 1 species